rnacentral:rRNA from 1 species
AACGAACGCUGGCGGCAUGCCUAACACAUGCAAGUCGAACGAGACCUUCGGGUCUAGUGGCGCACGGGUGCGUAACGCGUGGGAACCUGCCCGUAGGUUCGGAAUAACUCCCCGAGAGGGGUGCUAAUACCGGAUAAUGUCUUCGGACCAAAGAUUUAUCGCCUUUGGAUGGGCCCGCGUUGGAUUAGCUAGUUGGUAGGGUAAAAGCCUACCAAGGCGACGAUCCAUAGCUGGUCUGAGAGGAUGAUCAGCCACACUGGGACUGAGACACGGCCCAGACUCCUACGGGAGGCAGCAGUGGGGAAUAUUGGACGAUGGGCGAAAGCCUGAUCCAGCAAUGCCGCGUGAGUGAUGAAGGCCUUAGGGUUGUAAAGCUCUUUUACCCGGGAUGAUAAUGACAGUACCGGGAGAAUAAGCUCCGGCUAACUCCGUG